rnacentral:rRNA from 1 species
GAUGAGCGCUGGCGGCGUGCCUAAUACAUGCAAGUCGAGCGAACAGACGAGGAGCUUGCUCCUCUGACGUUAGCGGCGGACGGGUGAGUAACACGUGGAUAGCCUACCUAUAAGACUGGGAUAACUUCGGGAAACCGGAGCUAAUACCGGAUAAUAUAUUGAACCGCAUGGUUCAAUAGUGAAAGACGGUUUUGCUGUCACUUAUAGAUGGAUCCGCGCCGCAUUAGCUAGUUGGUAAGGUAACGGCUUACCAAGGCAACGAUGCGUAGCCGGCCUGAGAGGGUGAUCGGCCACACUGGAACUGAGACACGGUCCAGACUCCUACGGGAGGCAGCAGUAGGGAAUCUUCCGCAAUGGGCGAAAGCCUGACGGAGCAACGCCGCGUGAGUGAUGAAGGUCUUCGGAUCGUAAAACUCUGUUAUUAGGGAAGAACAAAUGUGUAAGUAACUAUGCACGUCUUGACGGUACCUAGUCAGAAAGCCACGGCUAACUACGUG